GAAGCGCAUCUGGUCACAUCACUUUUGCUUUUCAUUUCCACAUGAAAACCUUUGAGAAACGUAUUCACAAGACAUAAUGACUUCUCACCAUUACCAAUAACAGGGGAGAUUAGCAUGUUAUAUCAUACUCCAUGACAUGCUGACUUCUCACUGUUACCAAUAACAGGGGAGGUUAGCAUGUUAUAUCAUACCCCCAUGACAUGAUGACUUCUCACCGUUACCAAUAACAGGGGAGGUUAGCAUGUUAUAUCAUACCCCCAUGACAUGAUGACUUCUCACCAUUACCAAUAACAGGGGAGGUUAGCAUGUUAUAUCAUACCCCCAAGACAUGAUGACUUCUCACCAUUACCAAUAACAGGGGAGGUUAGCAUGUUAUAUCAUACCCCCAUGACAUGAUGACUUCUCACCAUUACCAAUAACAGGGGAGGUUAGCAUGUUAUAUCAUACCCCCAUGACAUGAUGACUUCUCACCAUUACCAAUAACAGGGGAGGUUAGCAUGUUAUAUCAUACCCCCAUGACAUGAUGACUUCUCACCAUUACCAAUAACAGGGGAGGUUAGCAUGUUAUAUCAUACCCCCAUGACAUGAUGACUUCUCACCAUUACCAAUAACAGGGGAGGUUAGCAUGUUAUAUCAUACCCCCAUGACAUGAUGACUUCUCACCAUUACCAAUAACAGGGGAGGUUAGCAUGUUAUAUCAUACCCCCAUGACAUGAUGACUUCUCACCAUUACCAAUAACAGGGGAGGUUAGCAUGUUAUAUCAUACCCCCAUGACAUGAUGACUUCUCACCAUUACCAAUAACAGGGGAGGUUAGCAUGUUAUAUCAUACCCCCAUGACAUGAUGACUUCUCACCAUUACCAAUAACAGGGGAGGUUAGCAUGUUAUAUCAUACCCCCAUGACAUGAUGACUUCUCACCAUUACCAAUAACAGGGGAGGUUAGCAUGUUAUACCAUACCCCCAUGACAUGAUGACUUCUCACCAUUACCAAUAACAGGGGAGGUUAGCAUGUUAUAUCAUACCAUACACCCAAAUACAAAAAAAUGGACAUCUUUAUUUACAAGAAUCUUAAGGGUGUCAAUAAUUUUGACACAUACCUGUUUGAGAGAAGAACGUAUUACUUGUUAAACAUAUCUUUCUUUGAGCAAUUGCAUUGGUAUAAAUUAUAUAAUUUACCAUUUUUUUGAACAUACAAAAUAGCUCAGUAUUUGAAUUAUUUAUUUUACACAUUCAUUAUUGCUCAUCUUUAUCAAGGGUGUCAAUCAUUUCAGACUCCACUGUAUUUGGCUUUUCAAAUCUACUUAAUGA